rnacentral:tRNA from 1 species
GGAACUAUAGUUAAUAAUAACAUUUGAGUUGCAUUCAAAAAGUACUACUUUAAGUAGUUAGUUUCA